rnacentral:rRNA from 1 species
UACAGAGGGCGCGAGCGUUGUCCGGAAUCACUGGGCGUAAAGGGCGCGUAGGCGGCCGUGUAAGUCACCUGUGAAAUCCCGGGGCUCAACUCCGGGGCUGCAGGUGAGACUGCGUGGCUAGAGCACGGUAGAGGCGAGUGGAAUUCCCGGUGUAGCGGUGGAAUGCGCAGAUAUCAGGAGGAACACCGGUGGCGAAGGCGGGUCUCUGGGCCGAUACUGACGCUGAGGAGCGAAAGCGUGGGGAGCGAACAGG